rnacentral:rRNA from 1 species
AUUGAACGCUGGCGGCAUGCCUUACACAUGCAAGUCGAACGGUAACAGGUCUUCGGAUGCUGACGAGUGGCGAACGGGUGAGUAAUACAUCGGAACGUGCCUAGUAGUGGGGGAUAACUACUCGAAAGAGUGGCUAAUACCGCAUGAGAUCUACGGAUGAAAGCAGGGGAUCGCAAGAUCUUGUGCUACUAGAGCGGCCGAUGGCAGAUUAGGUAGUUGGUGGGAUAAAAGCUUACCAAGCCGACGAUCUGUAGCUGGUCUGAGAGGACGAUCAGCCACACUGGGACUGUGACACGGCACAGACUCCUACGGGAGGCAGCAGUGGGGAAUUUUGGACAAUGGGCGCAAGCCUGAUCCAGCAAUGCCGCGUGCAGGAUGAAGGCCUUCGGGUUGUAAACGGCUUUUGUACGGAACGAAAAGCCCUGGGUUAAUACCCUGGGGUCAUGACGGUACCGUAAGAAUAAGCACCGGCUAACUACGUGCCAGCCGCCGCGGUAAGAC